GAUGAAGAACGUAGCGAAAUGCGAUAAGUAAUGUGAAUUGCAGAAUUCAGUGAAUCAUCGAAUCUUUGAACGCACAUUGCGCCCCCUGGUAUUCCGGGGGGCAUGCCUGUUCGAGCGUCAUUUCACCACUCAAGCCUCGCUUGGUAUUGAGCAACGCGGUCCGCCGCGUGCCUCAAAUCGACCGGCUGGGUCUUCUGUCCCCUAAGCGUUGUGGAAACUAUUCGCUAAAGGGUGUUCGGGAGGCUACGCCGUAAAACAACCCCAUUUCUAAGGUUGACCUCGGAUCAGGUAGGGAUACCCGCUGAACUUAAGCAUAUCAAUAAGCGGAGGA
rnacentral:misc_RNA from 1 species